GGCUGCGGGUGAUACGGAUAACCCUGGUAAUUCUGAGGCUAAUACGAGACUGCAAACCCUGGUUGACCGUAAGGGAUACUGGGGGGCGUGUAAUGUUUCGCGAGGAAUAACCGGGAAGGGGUACACGCUCUGACCACGACAAAGACAGUGCCGGUGAAUCCUCGGAUGAUCUGGUUCUGAGUGGCUCUUGCGAGGUGCUUCUGACCUAUCAACUAGAUGGCAGCGUAACGGACAUGCCAUGGUUACAACGGGUACAGAGGAUUAGGGUUCGAUCCUGGAGAGUGGGCCUGAGAGAUUGCUCAUACUUCUAAGGAAGGCAGCAGGCGCGCAACGUUCCCCUUGGACAAUGUCCGAGGGCGUUAGGGGACAUAUGAAUGGUUGCCUUUUAGGUGGCCAAUUCAAAUGGGUUCGUUCUAAACAGCCCU
rnacentral:rRNA from 1 species